UCAUCGGUUCAUUUCUCUUUGACCAAAAUCCAUCCUUCUGAGCAUUUAGUUCCCACUUGCCACACAAACCUCACAAUCCCAUCAGUUUGCUCCGUUGCCUUCCCAUCUCAUUUAUUACACACUUAAUACAGCGGUCAAGCCUCUUCCUUUACCCAGGACAACCUUUGUAGAAAGACUUCUUCUAAUUUACCAGUCACUGGUGGUUCCCACUCAGGGGAAGUGGAAGGUUUUACAUUUUCUCUGGAGUUGACAGACUUUUCUCUCCCCCGCCACUUCCAAAAUAAAAAUGAGGAAUUGUCACCCUACUGCAAGACGCUGAAAUGUGCAGGGAAGGAACAUUUUCAUCUACAGGUUUGUUAUCAGGAGCUAUCAGAACUGCCAGUGAACCAAAAAAUAUUCAACUUUAGUCCUGGUAGUACCACAAAUGGAUAUUCACAUACAAGACUGAAAUGGGGACAUAGUCCUGGAAUACAAGCGUGUUUGAUGGGAAACUUAUUGCACCCUCAAAAAGCAGCAAAGAAUCCUGUGGCACCUUAUAGACUAACAGAUGUUUUGCAGCAUGAGCUUUCGUGGAUGAAUACCCACUUCGUCGGAUGCAAGUGGAUUGCAUCCUGUUUCUGAACUGCACCUUGAGAACCUAUAUUUUACAGAAUGAUAAGAGUAGGUUUUCACUGAACAGGUGCCUCAAAAUUAACUGGAAUCCAGAGUUUAUUCAUCCUACUUGACAAAAGAUUUUGGUUGCUCUGGCUAACAUUUCUUUUGGCUUCUUCAUCAUAAGAAAGGGGCCAGCUUGCUCAGAGCUGCUGAAGAGGAAUGUUUAUAAUGAGAUAAUGUUCUUCCAAACCCAUGAAUCAUCAAAGAAUCUCCUUCGGCACUAGCUUGAGAGGUUUUAUGUCAGGGGGUCACAGCCUCAAUUGGUGUCAAUUAUCAUAGGUCCAUUGAUUUCAAUUGAGAUAUGUUGAUUUUCACAAGUUGGGGGAGGCUGACCCCAAGACAGUAUUUUUCACCCCACUCAGGAAAAAUGAGCAUCACAAAUGCACAAUGAAUGCAAAACACAGGGAAACGUGCCCAACCAUUUGUUACUGAAUUAAAAAAAAAAAAAAAAAAUCACUGAACAAGCUCAGCUCACCUAAAACUUCCCUGCUUCCAUAUCAGUGUGGGCCAGAUUUUAAACAAACCACAGAAUAAAGAUGGGUCAUUUGCUGUUGCUACCAAAUGUACUACUUUAUGGCUCUGAGUAAAAGAAGGUUAAGCAAUUACAAUAUAAAUAUAAUAGCUUUGGCCCCAACUCCUCUUUAGCAGCAAAUAGGUGAAAUGAGUCAGUUCUGAAAACCUGACAAGGCAGUGUACAUUUUCACAGAUAGGCAUGAGAAUUGAAAAAGGCUCGAGGAAAAGAAGAGGGAGGUGGGGGAAAAGGCAAGAGAAUAAGCUGACAGAUUCAUAGCUUUUGUUUCACAAUUGGUAUCUCUUAAAAAGUUUUACUUGUUUGCUUGUUCCUUUUAAGCUAUGUAGUAAGGGUGGCAGCAGCAGCAGCAGAACUGCAUGCCAGAUGGUAGAGUAAG